rnacentral:rRNA from 1 species
UCUACGGGGGACAGCAGUGAGGAAUAUUGGUCAAUGGGCGAGAGCCUGAACCAGCCAAGUCGCGUGAGGGAGUACUGUCCUAUGGGUUGUAAACCUCUUUUGUCGGGGAGCAAAAGCCGGACGUGGCCCGCUGUGAGAGUAACCGGAGAAAAAGCAUCAGCUAAAGCCGUGCCAACAGCCGCGGUUAUAAUGGGGAUGCGAACGUUUACCGGAUUUAGUGGGUUUAAAGGGGGCGCAGGCGGGUUUUUAAGUCAGCGGUAAAAUCGUGGGGCGCAACCCCAUCGAGCCGUUGAAACUGGGGAUCUAGAGUGUGCGAGAGGUAUGCGGAAUGCGUGGUGUAGCGGUGAAAUGCAUAGAUAUCACGCAGAACCCCGAUUGCGAAGGCAGCAUACCGGUGCAACACUGACGCUCAGGCACGAAAGCGUGGGUAUCGAACAGGAUUAGAUACCCCAGUAGUC